AAACUAGUCAAUUUUGCAUCUUAUACAAAAUAAACUCCACUUGAAAGACCCCCAGAGCGGGGAGACCCUCACUCAAGUCUCGGGAUGAUGCGACCCCCCAAGAACUCACGUGAGACC
rnacentral:pre_miRNA from 14 species